UAAUACGGGGGGUGCAAGCGUUAAUCGGAAUUACUGGGCGUAAAGGGUGCGUAGGUGGUUAUAUAAGUUAGCUGUGAAAUUCCUGGGCUUAACCUAGGGGGGUCAGCUAAGACUGUGUGACUAGAGUAUGGGAGAGGGUAGUGGAAUUUCCGGUGUAGCGGUGAAAUGCGUAGAGAUCGGAAGGAACACCAGUGGCGAAGGCGGCUACCUGGCCUAAUACUGACACUGAGGCACGAAAGCGUGGGGAGCAAACAGGAUUAGAUACCCUGGUAGUCCACGCUGUAAACGAUGUCAACUAGCUGUUGGCCUUAUAAAAGAGGUUAGUGGCGCAGCAAACGCGAUAAGUUGACCGCCUGGGGAGUACGGUCGCAAGAUUAAAACUUAAAUGAAUUGACGG
rnacentral:rRNA from 1 species